CCUAGGGUGGCAGCAGUGGGGAAUAUUGGACAAUGGGCGAAAGCCUGAUCCAGCCAUGCCGCGUGUGUGAAGAAGGCCUUCGGGUUGUAAAGCACUUUCAGUGGGGAAGAAAGCCUUGGGGCUAAUACCCUCGAGGAAGGACAUCACCCACAGAAGAAGCACCGGCUAACUCCGUGCCAGCAGCCGCGGUAAUACGGAGGGUGCGAGCGUUAAUCGGAAUUACUGGGCGUAAAGCGCGCGUAGGCGGUCUGAUAAGCCGGUUGUGAAAGCCCCGGGCUCAACCUGGGAACGGCAUCCGGAACUGUCAGGCUAGAGUGCAGGAGAGGAAGGUAGAAUUCCCGGUGUAGCGGUGAAAUGCGUAGAGAUCGGGAGGAAUACCAGUGGCGAAGGCGGCCUUCUGGACUGACACUGACGCUGAGGUGCGAAAGCGUGGGUAGCAAACAGGAUUAGAUACCCUAGUAGUC
rnacentral:rRNA from 1 species